UACACUGGCAAAAUCAACUCUUGUCCUACCCUGAAAGGGGCGGGUAAACCAUUGAAAAUUUGCCGUGAUUGGGAUCGGAAAUUGCAAUUAUUUUCCGUGAACGAGGAAUU
rnacentral:rRNA from 1 species